UCGAGCGGUAACAGAAAGUAGCUUGCUACUUUGCUGACGAGCGGCGGACGGGUGAGUAAUGCUUGGGAACAUGCCUUGAGGUGGGGGACAACAGUUGGAAACGACUGCUAAUACCGCAUAAUGUCUACGGACCAAAGGGGGCUUCGGCUCUCGCCUUUAGAUUGGCCCAAGUGGGAUUAGCUAGUUGGUGAGGUAAUGGCUCACCAAGGCAACGAUCCCUAGCUGGUUUGAGAGGAUGAUCAGCCACACUGGAACUGAGACACGGUCCAGACUCCUACGGGAGGCAGCAGUGGGGAAUAUUGCACAAUGGGCGCAAGCCUGAUGCAGCCAUGCCGCGUGUGUGAAGAAGGCCUUCGGGUUGUAAAGCACUUUCAGUCAGGAGGAAAGGUUAGUAGUUAAUACCUGCUAGCUGUGACGUUACUGACAGAAGAAGCACCGGCUAACUCCGUGCCAGCAGCCGCGGUAAUACGGAGGGUGCGAGCGUUAAUCGGAAUUACUGGGCGUAAAGCGUACGCAGGCGGUUUGUUAAGCGAGAUGUGAAAGCCCCGGGCUCAACCUGGGAACUGCAUUUCGAACUGGCAAACUAGAGUGUGAUAGAGGGUGGUAGAAUUUCAGGUGUAGCGGUGAAAUGCGUAGAGAUCUGAAGGAAUACCGAUGGCG
rnacentral:rRNA from 1 species